rnacentral:rRNA from 1 species
AGUGAACGCUGGCGGUAGGCCUAACACAUGCAAGUCGAACGGCAGCACAGGAGAGCUUGCUCUCUGGGUGGCGAGUGGCGGACGGGUGAGGAAUACAUCGGAAUCUACUUUUUCGUGGGGGAUAACGUAGGGAAACUUACGCUAAUACCGCAUACGACCUACGGGUGAAAGCAGGGGAUCUCCGGACCUUGCGCGAUUGAAUGAGCCGAUGUCGGAUUAGCUAGUUGGCGGGGGAAAGGCCCACCAAGGCGACGAUCCGUAGCUGGUCUGAGAGGAUGAUCAGCCACACUGGAACUGAGACACGGUCCAGACUCCUACGGGAGGCAGCAGUGGGGAAUAUUGGACAAUGGGCGCAAGCCUGAUCCAGCCAUACCGCGUGGGUGAAGAAGGCCUUCGGGUUGUAAAGCCCUUUUGUUGGGAAAGAAAUCCAGCUGGUUAAUACCCGGUUGGGAUGACGGUACCCAAAGAAUAAGCACCGGCUAACUUCGUGCCAGCCGCCGCAGUAA